rnacentral:lncRNA from 1 species
AUGGUCUCCUUAAAGACUGCAAGAAGCCACGUGGCUGCAGGAAGAUGCCACAAAGAGCCCUGCCAUGCAAGGCCUUUUGAACCAGGCAAGUUCCUUCCUUUCUUUUGCCUUGAGGAUGGAAGUGAUUGUCCUCUAUCACCAACUACAUCCCUAGCCCCAGGACUGUUGUUGAAUUUCUUUGAGUUGCCUUGGAGACACUUCAGGAUAAGGCAGAGGAACCGGGCUUGAUGGCACACACCUGUAAUCCCAGCACUUGGGAGGCUGAGGCAGGAGGAUCAUUGUGAGUUCCAGACCAGCCUGGACUACAAAGUGAGCUCAAGACCAGCCUGAACUGCAUAGUGAGACCCUGUCUCAAAAAGACAAAAACAAAACAAAACAAAACAAAACAAAACAAAACAAUAAGGCAGAGGAAAUAUGAAUUUCCCAGAAAUAGAGCACAUUGCUAUGUGAUGGAGAGAUAUAAGCAAUGAGGGCCAGCUUUCAGACAUGUGGGACUGGUGUACAAAAGGGACGAUAUGAGUGGGCUGGGGAGGAAAAAGUUUUAUUGGAGAAGCACAGGAGGGACUGGAUGUGGUGAUACAGGCCUGCAAACCCAGCUACUCCAGCGGCUGAGGCAAGAGCCAGAAAUACGAGACCAGCUUGUGUAAUGUAGGAAGACUUCAACUGAAAAAAAAAAAAUUAAAAAGGAUAGAUUAGAAGGUAGAGACAUAGGCUUACUCUCUGAAAGGUCUUCUGAUACAGCAGUGGUGGGACUGUGCCAGCUCUCACCAGCUCACGAGCUGAUGACUACACAUCCAGGAAUUUUGUGAGCCAGUGUCAUAUGGGUAGCUGACGCUGAGUUUUUAACCUUAUUGUUAUAAAUAUUAAAUGAGAAAAUACAUACGUAAGGUUGAGGCAGGAGGAUCACCAUGACUUCAAGACUAGCUUGAACUAUAUAGUGAGACCCUCUCUCAAAAAAACAAACACACAAUAAGACUCAACACAUACGUAAAAAUAGUCCGGGCAUGGUGACACACAGUGGUAAUCUCAGUAUUCAGGAGGCCAAGGCUGGAGGAUCGCUUCAAGUUCAAGGCCAGUCUGGGUUACUUAGACACUAAUUCAGGGGGAAAAAAAGGAAAUACAUAUUGUUAGAGACCACAAAUCAUAAAUUGAGGCUAGAGUCUGAAGGCCUUAAUAGUCCUGAGUUGCUGUGACACUCAAGGGCAAAAUCCUCAUUAGUUUAAAAUCACCAAUGCCCUCUGAGUUAUUGAAGUGAUCCUUAUCAAUGUAAGAUCCUUCUCAGCGUAAGACCACACUGCCCUCUGAGUCCUCCCCCUUCUCCUCAAUGUAAAUGUGAUCAGUAAAUACUAGGGUUCUGGCUGCUCAUGGUCUCUUGUUCCCCGUGAACAACUGGUCAUCUCGGAUCCCCAUUUCAUCACCAUUUUGUCUCUUGCUCUUCUCACCAUGCGCCCUAACACCUGGCAGGAGUUUGGAGCCCACUGCAGAGUCCCUGAUUACAUAUGUAAAAAUAAACAUGCCAGGCAUGGGCACAUAUCUAUAAUCCCAACACUCUAAUGGGCUGAGGCAGGAGGAUUGCAAAUUUGAGCCCAGCCUGGAUGAUUUACUAGCUAAGGAGACACUAGCUCAAGAGAAAAAACAAAUAAAGGAAAUAAAGAAAAAGAGAAAGAAAGAAAGAAGAAAGAAGCCAGGUGUGGUGGUGCAUGCCUGUAAUCCCAGCACUUGGGAGGCUGAGGCAGGAGGCUCCUUGCAAGUUCGAGGCCAGCCUGGGCUACAAAGUAAGUUCAAGAUCAAUUUGAACUGUGUAGUGAGACCUUGUCUCAAAGACAAAAAAGAAAGCAAACAAAAAGAAAGUGACCAGAAUGAUAGGACAAGUGUAUUCAAAGCAAGGGGGUAUCAUUUGAGGGGACAGAAUGAUAGUAUGUGUUUUACUGUGGUAAAAUUUUUUUUGUUUUUUUUUCCUCAGUACUGGAAAUCGAACUCAUGACCUUCUGCUUGCCAGGCAGGCGAUAUGCCACUGAGCUAAAUGCCCAGCCCCCAAAUUUUUUAAUUUAACAUUCAC